rnacentral:rRNA from 1 species
AGCGAACGUUAGCGGCGGGCCUAACACAUGCAAGUCGAGCGAGAAAGGGGCUUCGGCCCUGAGUAAAGCGGCGGACGGGUGAGUAACACGUAGGUAAUCUUCCUUCGAGCGGGGGACAACGGUCCGAAAGGACCGCUAAUACCGCGUACGUUCCCGAGGACCCUGGUCCUUGGGAGGAAAGCUAGGUCGCAAGAUUCGGCACUCGGAGAGGUGCCUGCGUCGCAUCAGCUAGUUGGUGGGGUAAUGGCCUACCAAGGCGAAGACGCGUAGCUGGUCUGAGAGGAUGAUCAGCCACACUGGGACUGAGACACGGCCCAGACUCCUACGGGAGGCAGCAGUGGGGAAUAUUGGACAAUGGGCGCAAGCCUGAUCCAGCCACGCCGCGUGAGUGAUGAAGGCCUUCGGGUCGUAAAGCUCUGUGGGGAGGGACGAACCGCUGCACGUGCAUAGCGUGCAGCAUGACGGUACCUCCUUAGCAAGCACCGGCUAACUUCGUACCAGCCGCCGCAGUAA